CAUCCUAUAAAUACGUUGGCGGCACGUCGCGAGGUCCUUUCAUCAGCGCACCCUCUGUCAGUCGGAGUCAUGGCUGUGUUAGCGGGCCUAGCUGAAGAACACGGAGGAAAUGUGAUCUCAUUGCUGAAUGAGUUGGGAUAGAGUUAUCCUACAGUUUGUGCUUCCCCUCUGACUUGAGGUGCUGAGGACCUCAGGCAAGCUGGGUUUCCUCACUGCCCUUGCCUUCAGCACUGAUGCAGCACCAUGUCACUGAUGGCAGAAGAAUGAGCCUGAUGAACUGGUGACAGCCGUUUCUGCUGCAGCAGAGGAUGGCCUCCUCCUCCCAGGCUCCAGCAGGGAUUGACAUCAGAGAAUCCUCAAACAAUCCUGGAGAAGAGAGGAGUGUCAGCCUUUCACUCUAAGUAAUUGAUGCCAAGUCAUCGUUGAGCAGCUGGAUGCACCGUCGGAACUUUGAUCUGCUGUCACUCACUUUUGGAGUAAAAUUUAACUGCUUUGCAAAUGACAACUUUAUAAAGGCAGCAAUGUUUGUGCACAGCAUCAGAUUUAGCCUUUUUCCUUGGUCUACUGUGUUAUCAAUAACGCAUAAAAUAUCAAUAAAUCCAAUAACACCAAACUCUC